rnacentral:piRNA from 1 species
UACAAUGAGUGUACACUAGGGAG